AGAAGGGCCAACCACGGAUUCGAUUCGGGCUCAAGCGGCAGAGGAGGAUGGUGCGCAUGCGGUGCCCCUACUGCAGCGGCACGGCGCGGCGGUGCGCCACCACCCCCUCCGGCCGCUGCGUCACCGAGUGCUGCUCCUGCGGCCGCGUGGUGGAGGAGCGCCAGCUCCACACCCACCACCUCUUUUCGCUGCGCGCCUUCGACAAUCCCCUCCCCCUCGUCACUCCCGACCUCCUCCACCUCCCCUUUCCCCCACCUCCCCCCUCCCCCUCCCCCUGUGCCGCCACCGCCGACGACGAGGAGGACCCCUUCCACCCCACCGGCUUCAUCACCGCCUUCUCCACCUGGUCCCUGGAGCCUUCCCCCCUUUUCGUCCGCUCCGCCUCCUCCUUUGCCGGCCACCUCGCGGAGCUCGAGCGCACCCUCGAUUCCUCCUCCUCCUCCUCUUCUUCCUCUGGCUCUGAUGCCUCCGGCGGGCCUCUCGUCUCCAUGGACCACCUUCGGGCUUACCUCCAGAUCUUGGAGGUCUCAUCCAUCCUGGGGCUGGACCACGACAUUGCCGACCACGCCUUCCAGCUAUUCCGGGACUGCUCCUCCACCACCUGCCUCCGCAACCGCAGCAUCGAGGCCCUGGCGACGGCUGCGCUUGUACAGGCCAUCCGUGAGGCCCAGGAGCCACGAACCCUCCAGGAAAUAUCUACAGCAAGCAACCUUCCUCAAAAAGAAAUUGGCAAGUACAUCAAGAUUCUUGGGGAAGCUCUGAAACUUAGCCAGCCCAUUAAUAGCAAUUCAAUUGCAGUUCACAUGCCUAGGUUUUGCACGCUACUCCAACUUAAUAAAUCAGCUCAGGAACUCGCAGCUCAUAUUGGAGAAGUUGUCGUGAAUAAAUGCUUUUGUACUCGUCGGAACCCAAUUAGCAUCUCAGCUGCUGCCAUCUACCUAGCAUGUCAACUGGAAGAUAAACGUAAAACCCAGGCUGAAAUUUGUAAAGUGACUGGUUUAACAGAGGUCACUCUUCGUAAAGUGUACAAAGAGCUUUUGGAGAAUUGGGAUGAUUUGCUCCCACCUAACUAUACUCCUGCAGUGCCUCCAGAGAAGGCUUUUCCAAUGACUACAAUCACCUCGGGUCGUUCUUCAACUUCCAAAGUGGAUGUGGUCGAUCUUUACCAUUUGAAUGCAAAUCAUGACAAAGACAAGCACCCAGAAACUGUUAAACCAAGUAAAGCUUUUGAUUCUAUGGAGUGUAGUCAUACAGUCACAAUGAAGGAGACAGAGAAAAAAAGCAAUUCUCAUGUCCGUACAUCAUUUGAUUCCCGGGACUUGAAUCAGGGAGCGUUCUGCCAACCACAGCAGGUUCCUUUUGGAAUGUUUUCCUGUAAGCUAGAGACAGAGAAGGAUCGGAAGGAUGAUCAAGGCAUCAUCAAUCUUAAUGAAACUGAGUCCAGCCUAUUGGAGUAUGAAGGCAGCAAGGACUUGAAAAUUUGUGAUUCUGCUCCACAAAUGGCUCAAACAUCAGUUCCCUCAUCCUCAAAAAGGUACACAAGUCCAUGGCAUUUGAAUGCACCACCAGCUGUUUCAGGGUAUUAUUCUCGGUUUGAAAAGCAACAUAUAGGCGUUGACUUUGCAUCUGGAUCUAGAGAGAUUGGGAAAAGUGGGAGCAAUGAUGCUGAUGGCCACUACCACAAGGAAGAGAAUUAGUAGAGAACCAAAUGAAUGUAUGCAGUGUUGACUUGUUUUUUGUCAUCAUAUGUGGGAUAAAUGAGUGUCAGGCCUUAGGAUGUUCGCCAUCCUGUUAUAUGAGCAUGCUAUAAGAGGAUGUGACACAACUGUAACCCGAUUCUUUAUGUUGAGGCUUGUGCUAUAUGAGACUGGAGCAGUCUAUCAAUCAUCACAUCAGCCUGGUCUAGGUGACUCACUCACUUUUGUUAAUAUUUUAUAAUUAGACAGGUUUCAAUUCUGCACUGUGGAUCUGUCUGGAUAUGUUUAAAUUUUUCAUGUAUAUGGAGGCAAUGCAGCAAGCCAAAUGGCUUGCAAAUUUGGAGGGGAUAAGCAGUUCAACUGUCUUAUUCGAUAGGGUUUAACGAGGAGUUAACUAAUAUCUUGAGCUCUGUUGUCUCUAGAUUUUUCUAUACAUAGGUUUUUCUAUACAGUUUUCCUUCAAAAGAAAAUGCUUGAGGUGGACAUGAAACAUAGGUAUGGAAGAAUUUAGAAAUGCCCUUUUGCUUUGCCUGUACGAGAUUGACAAACCAGAAACAAGGGCGUUGUCCAUGUUCUGAUCAAAAAGUUUAGCAUUCUGAAAACCAAUUCAUCUGUUGUGUAAGCAUUAUGCCUCUUCAUAAGCCUUUUUCUUCUCUAUAUUUUGAUGUUUAUGCCUGCUUGAUUGUUUCCGACUAUGUUUAUUUGAACUUGACCUUUUAGUGGUAGCUUGCAAUUAUCUUGCCUCCAUAUGCACAAAAGAGCGAUGCUUGGUGUGCACAAGAUGCCACCGUAGCAUCGAGAUGUUACACAUGUAGAUGCAUGCAAGACCUCAAGUUGUUACAUGACUAGCGCAUGGUUGCAUGCUAUGGAGACAAACAUACAGAUGCCAAGUCUUCCUCUACACACAUGCAAUUUUAUGUGCACUCGUAACAUUUAUCAUGCAUGUCAUUCUAUACAGAGAUAUGGUAUGUGGGUAGAGGUGUUAAUUAUACUCGUUGGUAUGCGUACAGGUAAGGAUCUGCUUCUAAUGGGAUAAGGAUAAGGGAAUAGAUGGAAAUAAAGAUAGGGAUGACAGAUAUUUUUUAUUACUCAUAUGGUUAUAGGGCGGUGAUGGGUAGAGCACUUCCCAUCUCAUCCUUAUACUUAUCCUAGUCUAAUCUCAUUUAUGUUAUUAUGUUCUAUAUAAUUAUAUAUUUGAUAAUAAUAAUAAUAAUAUAAAAAUAUAUUGGAGCAUUGAAUUCAAUACCUAUGACUCUAACAUUCCAACAUUAAUAAUGAAAACUACAACACCACCAAUUUGGUCGUUAUUAUAUUUUGAUAUAUUUGAUUUUAUUUAUAUCUGGAUAUUUUUGUAUUUAGAUAUUGUUAUGAUGUGUAAAUUUUAUCAAUAUUGUUGUUAUUAUUUAUAAAUUUUAGUAUUAUUAAUUAAUUUUAAUAAUAUUUGAUUUUUUCUUUGAUGGAAUGAAUUAAUUAGGAAAAUAACCUGCAAUUCUCUGCCCCUAAUGGGAUUCCCCUCCCUUGCUCCCGCUCCAUCUAAAUAGGAAAUGGAUGGGGAUGGAGGAUGAGAUAGAGAUGAAGACGAGGAAGCACUUCCUGCCCCGUUGACAUCCCUAUCUAUGAGUUGAAUGUAAGAUUCAUAUCAAAGAAUUUUAAUGAAUCGUAGUUUUCUGCGUCUUCUUUUUGGCUUUCAUCUAUUGUCGACAUUGCAGACUACAGCUUAGCUUAAAAAUAAAAAAUCAUCGAUAACAAAAAAAUUUGAUUCCACCGAACUCGAAGAUUACAGUGACUAUUCUGUUUUCUUCUUCGAGCUCAUGUCAUGAUCUUGACAAGAUAUCUAUUGAGCUCAUAGCAACCAUUAACAUUUUAUUGUUUUUAAUUUAUAGCUACAUAGAUAUGCUGAUAUUAUCUUUGACUUAUAGAUUUAGCUGCAUAAAUGUGACAUGAUACAAUAUAUUGGACGAACAAAUCUAACAUAAUUAACAAAUGUGUUUGAUCUUAUCCCAAGUGAUUCUUUCCGCUGAUCCUUUGUUUCAAUGUUCAGACUUAUCCCAUUGUGUUUUCCAUUUAGCUAGGCAGGCAUUAAAUGAAAGGAAAUUUGGGGGAAAUCAAGUCCUUGCAGUUUCUUAUCCAGAGAACAAGUUUGCUCAGGGAGACUUGGAUGGCUAGUUGCUUCCAAUUUUGCUCCACCAGUUGUUUCCACGUUUACUGUAUCACAGUUCAGUGAGGAAUAAUACCCUUCAUCAUGUUUGGACAUCUUAGCAUACAUUGAUUAGAUUCAUGUGCUAACCAGUCUAGUUUUGACAGACAUCUGGUUAAGAGAAACUCAUUUCAAUGGGACUAUAAUCAGUAGAUGUAACACAAUUCCAAUAGUUUUUUCUUUCUUUCUUUUGCAAGAUUGGCAAUCUUACAACUUCAUAGUUCUCUUU